rnacentral:rRNA from 1 species
GAUGAACGCUAGCGGCAGGCUUAAUACAUGCAAGUCGUGGGGCAGCAGGACUGUAGCACUCCAGUUGCUGGCGACCGGCAAACGGGUGCGGAACACGUACGCAACUUACCCUGAACUGGGGGAUAGCCCGGGGAAACCCGGAUUAAUACCCCGUAAUAUAAUGGAGUGGCAUCACUUUAUUAUUAAAGCUCCGGCGGUUCGGGAUGGGCGUGCGGCUGAUUAGGUAGUUGGUUGAGGUAACGGCUCACCAAGCCUACGAUCAGUAACUGGUGUGAGAGCAGGACCAGUCACACGGGCACUGAGACACGGGCCCGACUCAUACGGGAGGCAGCAGUAAGGAAGAUUGAGGAAUGGAGGCAACUCUGACCCAGCCAUGCCGCGUGGAGGAUGAAGGCCCUCGGGGUGGUAAACUUCUUUUAUAGGGGACGAAACCUGUGUAUUCUUACGCAGUUGACGGUACCCGAGGAAUAAGCACCGGCUAACUCCGUG